UCCCUCUUAGCUCAGUUGGUAGAGCGCGUCACUAGUAAUAUCGCAUGAUCGUGAUGUUAGUUAAUGACGAGGUCAGUCGUUCAAAUCGGCUAGCGGGAA